AUGAGCAAGGAAAAGGAGGGCACCCAGUGCAUGGAGGCAGAGCGGGGAGGCAAGGGCCGCAAGGAGCUGGCGGGAGGGCCGCACCGCCAUGGCACCGCUGAGAGGCUGGCACUGCAGGCCAGGCCUCAACGCGCCAGGAUAAGACUUCAAGAGAAAGUGGCUCUAACAUCGUGGGUUGCUUCUUUCUCCUUUCUUUCCCCCCUCCCCGCCCCCGGCCCCUUCUCACUCUUCACUCAGACAGUUCAGCUCACUGAACCACUAGAAAAGUAUUCACAUUUUUUCACCAGCUGGGUUUUCUACACUGUGGUGGACUAUUUCAAAGCAGCACUGAGCCUGAUGCAAAGGACGUAGUGCACAGGAAGGUGAGGUGGUGUGAGGAAUACCCUGCAAGAUCAGCUCAUCCAUCCACCCAAAAGGCACAAGAUGCUCCCACCACACCAUAUGCAGCUGAGUGGGCUCACCAAACCCCCACAAAACAGCUGCUGAGACGGGUGGCUGCGGUGGCUUUGGUAGCAGCUGGACCACUCUGAAAAGAUGGUAUACAUUA
rnacentral:lncRNA from 1 species